CAGAUAUGGAAGGAUAUGGCUUAGGUUGCUUAGAAAGGCAAAGGGAUUAAUUUCAUUAUCCCUCCAUCUUCUUCCACACAGCUAUGAGCGGCAGCUCUUACUGCCUGGGAACAAACUCAUGCGGCCCAGUCAGGAGGAUGGCAGCUCUACACAACCGAUACAUUUGCAGUUGUGGAUUGGGCAAGAGGACAUGGGAAUGUCGCUUGUGAGCUGUGCUGUGUCUAAUGGUGUGGGAGGACAGGUGUCAAGGCAGGACUGUGUCAUCUUCUAGACUUCAGGAAUCGGCAUUUAUGAAAAUCUCAUUUAGAGAGCUGAAGGACUAACUCUGAAACGCUUGCCAUUUGCUCUUAAUGUUUUCUUAUAUGACCUAAGUUGUUAUUUUCUUGUUUAAACUUAACUGUAGGUUUGGAGAUGCAUAACAUGGUUACAGGACAUCCUUUGUGUUGUUUCAAAAUAGCAAGUGGAGUAUAUAACUCUUUAUGCAGCCAACAAACAUGCUUAUUUGUUCUGCUUACGCUGCACAAUUUACCACUUGUCUUUCCUAAUCUUACAUCUUGAGAGAAUGAGAAAGAUUUGAUGUGUUGACCAUAGUUCUAGACAUGCUAAAAGCUCUGUUUUUGAGAUGUUCAUCUCAAAGACCACCUGGGUGUGACAGUAAAUUGCGUGACAAGACACAAGUAUCAAGCGCAGCAUCAUGAAGGCCCUGCAAUUACUCAGUGGUGCUCCUAACAAAACCAUUUGCUGAUGAAACAGUUCUUUGAGUCUCUAAAUUGAAGGAUGACUAGUACCUAAG
rnacentral:lncRNA from 1 species